ACUCCUACGGGAGGCAGCAGUAGGGAAUCCUCCACAAUGGACGAAAGUCUGAUGGAGCAACGCCGCGUGAGUGAAGAAGGGUUUCGGCUCGUAAAACUCUGUUGUUAAAGAAGAACAUAUCUGAGAGUAACUGUUCAGGUAUUGACGGUAUUUAACCAGAAAGCCACGGCUAACUACGUGCCAGCAGCCGCGGUAAUACGUAGGUGGCAAGCGUUGUCCGGAUUUAUUGGGGCGUAAAGCGAGCGCAGGCGGUUUUUAAGUCUGAUGUGAAAGCCUUCGGCUCAACCGAAGAAGUGCAUCGGAAACUGGGAAACUUGGGUGCAGAAGAGGACAGUGGAACUCCAUGUGUAGCGGUGAAAUGCGUAGAUAUAUGGAAGAACACCAGUGGCGAAGGCGGCUGUCUGGUCUGUAACUGACGCUGAGGCUCGAAAGUAUGGGUAGCAAACAGGAUUAGAUACCCUGGUAGGAUAGCG
rnacentral:rRNA from 1 species